CAGCAGUAGGUCUCUAGUUCAUCUGUUUACGUAAGUGUUUACCUCUAGUCUAAAGGUGCUCACUUGGGAAUUUACAAAUACAGUACUUAAUUAUAAUUAUCAUUCAUUUUAAGUAUUAAUGUCAAUAAUAUUAUUUAUAUUUAAUUGUAUAUUAGUAUUAUUAUUUUAUCAUUCAAUACAUCUGUCUUGUGUUCAGCGAAUGUGCUAAAAUGGGUCCGUCUGGAAAGUGAUCCUAACUGGGCCUUAUUUCAGGGGUAGGACUUAUUACGAGGGGCCUGAAAAAUCAUGCUAGAGUUUAUUUUCCAGUUAGGUCUUAUUUUCAGAGAACAUGUAUGAGAACCCACCACCGGAGCUGCCAGAUAAAGGGGACAGAAAGCAGUCCUCUUGUCCAGAGUGGGUCAGAGGAGGCAGAGAGGACCAGGCAUGUGGGGUGGCUGCUCCCCAGCCCCUGCUCCCCAGGGGGACCUUGCUCAGAUGGGCAAAGGUCAAGCAUUCUGUCCCGGGCUCAGAAGGACCCGGGUGCUGGUUCUGUGAGGGACCAGCAGACACCAUAGUCUCAUCCUGGCACAAGGGUGGCUGGGGCGCUAGGCAGUGAGCCCCACUCUGGGAUGCCAAGAGGGGGUUUCUUUAUUCAUCCUAUUUUCCAGGUCUGCAGGGCUCAGGUCAGUUUCCACUCAUGUUAACAAUGCACACACAGCUAUUAGAUACGGAAACACCCUAGAAACCCUGCACAUCCCUGAACCUCCUCCAUGUCAGCCUGGGCCAGCAAGUGCCUCCGGGGCUGGCGGACCCCUGUCAUGUCCCAGAAGCCCCUCUAAUCUCUAGCAGUGGCUGCUUCCUUUCUGACUGCAGCCCCUGAUGGACCAGCAGGGUUCUCAGCUGCACAGCUCUGGCCACUCUGGUGGCCUGGGGACGGGCCGCACGGCUCAGGGCUGCAUGCAGUGCAGAGUCUUGGCCCUGGCAAGGGCUCAGGCCCCUGGCAGCCCUUGGGGUGUGAGGUGCGGUCCUGCAGUGCCCCCAGGUGCUGCCAGGCAGUGUGCAGGGCCAGGGAGUCCAGCCCAAAGUCCAGCGCCCAGGAGCCCCGGGGCAGGCUCCAUCCUCGAGGGGCAGCAGGAGCCCGUGGUGUCUGGCUGGCCCCUCAGCAGCUGCGUUGACAGCAGACCAGCAGGCCACGCUGUGGCCAUGUCCCCUCCAUCUAAGGUCCACUCAUUCUUCCCAGGUCUCAGCUGCCAUCAGGGCCUCGCCUGGACCUUCCGAGGGACAGCCCAGGGUCCAAGGGCUCCUGAAGCACCCUGACCUCUCACAGGCCCUGGUUGACUGGUCUGGCUUCCCUGCCUAGGCCUGAGGCCCCUGGGGCUGCAGGAGGCUGGGCUGGCUGAGUACUCCAGGUGAGAGCCCUGCUGCCUGGACAGCCCUGCAGAGACCUCACCAAAAAGGUAUCAGGUGCCAGGGCCCAGCGGAAGGGAGGCUUUUCACAGGCACAGCCCGCUGUCCUUGGUCCCAGGGGCCAGGCUGGAGCCUGGAAGGAGCAGGGGGCUGCCUGCUCCGCCCGGCUGAGGCUGCCAGCCACUCUCAUCCCUAGCAGGCAUCUCUCCCUCCCUCCACUCUUCCUGGAGGGCAGCCGCUCUUGUACAGUCCACUCUGAUCCGCACGCCCACGGGGACCUCCCAUGGGCGCUGCCCCUGAGAGGCAGGGUAUCCUCCACGCUCACAAGCAAGCACCCAGGGCCAGGGCCUGUGCUUUCUGGCUGCUCUACAAGGCUGUGAGAGGGGCUGAGGUGGGAUCCAGAGACUCCUCACAGGGGCCUCCAGGGACCCCUGGCUGAGUGGGCUGUGCCAGGGGGAACUGGCAGAAGGAGCGGGCAUGGACCAGGGCACAGGAGCUGGGAGCGGCGCUGUCAGGCCCCAGUGGUAAAGGACUUGUCUCUCCUCUUCCUUCUAGGGCUUAAUGAGAAAGGAGAGAGCAACCAGGCAUGAGUCUGUCCAUGACAAAGGCCACCCAUCAGCUCCCUGUGGCCAGGCCCAGGCAAGGCUGCCCAGGAAGCUCCCAGGAUGCCAGAGCACAGCAUGCUGCAGGCCCGGGGGAGAAGGGAUGCUGUCGGCUGGGCCAACCAGUCAAGUCCUCAGAGCCAGCAUCUGGGCCUCUGGGCAGCUGGGGUCGGGGUCACACAGCUCUCUGCAGCCUCCUGGGUGUGGACCAGGCUGGAACUCCACAGCAGUCCCCACAGGGUGGUCUAGUUCCACGCACAGCUCUCUUCCAGCUCCCAAAGGGCCCAAGAGGGAAUGUUCUGGGACAACUGGGCGCCAGGAGGGAGCUGCUGGGGCAGGCCUUUGGGAUGUGGAGGAGGUGGUAGAGCCAGGCCUUCCUCACAACCAAUACGUCCACUGCUCACCACGCGGAGGCUGCAGGAGGCCACUCCUCCUCACCCUAACCCAGGCCUGGCUGCUUUGAACAGCAGCCCGGGGUGGCUCUCAUGCCAAGCGUCCACUCCUCAGGACACCAAGUAGACAGGGACAAGGGAUCCAGAGCAUGGAGCUGCAGCCCAUGAGUGUGCCGGGAAAGGAUGGGUCCCGGCAGUGGUCACCAAGUAGGGGACAUGGGUGCCCGCCCCACGGGGCUGCACUCUCCCCAGGCCCCAUUCACCACUCGGGAGGGGCCUCAUGGUGGGCAGGGAGACCCUGGACAAGGAGCCCCUGAGCGGGGUAACCCAGGGAUGGACUUAGAGAGGGACCCAGAGUGGUGAGGCCCAGGGCGGAGGUCCGAGGGGUGGACUCCGCCCCGCGGGCUCCUGACCGCGGCCCCCAUGGUUGGUGAGGCCGGAGCCAGGCGGCUGUCCUGAGUGGACGCAAAGUCCGGAGCGUUCAAGUCCCGGGAGUGGGAGUAGGUGGAAAGAUGUGCGUAAGACAGGGUCGGGGAUUUAGCUCAGUGGUGGUUCCGCUGCCUCCUGCCUCGCAAGCGCAAGAACCCGAGUUCGAUCCCUGGUACCAAAAAAAAAAAAGGACAAGCGUAAGAAAAGAGGAGUCCAGGUCGCGGAAAGCUG
rnacentral:lncRNA from 1 species